rnacentral:rRNA from 1 species
AACGAACGCUGGCGGCAUGCCUAACACAUGCAAGUCGAACGAGACCUUUGGGUCUAGUGGCGCACGGGUGCGUAACGCGUGGGAAUCUGCCCUUGGGUUCGGAAUAACGGUGAGAAAUUGCUGCUAAUACCGGAUGAUGUCUUCGGACCAAAGAUUUAUCGCCCAGGGAUGAGCCCGCGUAGGAUUAGCUAGUUGGUGGGGUAAUGGCCUACCAAGGCGACGAUCCUUAGCUGGUCUGAGAGGAUGAUCAGCCACACUGGGACUGAGACACGGCCCAGACUCCUACGGGAGGCAGCAGUGGGGAAUAUUGGACAAUGGGCGCAAGCCUGAUCCAGCAAUGCCGCGUGAGUGAUGAAGGCCUUAGGGUUGUAAAGCUCUUUUACCAGGGAUGAUAAUGACAGUACCUGGAGAAUAAGCUCCGGCUAACUCCGUG